rnacentral:rRNA from 1 species
CCAGACAGCCAGGAUGUUGGCUUAGAAGCAGCCAUCAUUUAAAGAAAGCGUAAUAGCUCACUGGUCGAGUCGGCCUGCGCGGAAGAUGUAACGGGGCUAAACCAUGCACCGAAGCUGCGGCAGCGACACUCAGGUGUUGUUGGGUAGGGGAGCGUUCUGUAAGCCUGCGAAGGUGGCCUGUGAGGGUUGCUGGAGGUAUCAGAAGUGCGAAUGCUGACAUAAGUAACGAUAAAGCGGGUGAAAAGCCCGCUCGCCGGAAGACCAAGGGUUCCUGUCCAACGUUAAUCGGGGCAGGGUGAGUCGACCCCUAAGGCGAGGCCGAAAGGCGUAGUCGAUGGGAAACGGGUUAAUAUUCCCGUACUUGGUGUUACUGCGAAGGGGGGACGGAGAAGGCUAUGUUGGCCGGGCGACGGUUGUCCCGGUUUAAGCGUGUAGGUGUGUGUUCCAGGUAAAUCCGGUUCACUUUAACACUGAGGCGUGAUGACGAGGCACUACGGUGCUGAAGCAACAAAUGCCCUGCUUCCAGGAAAAGCCUCUAAGCAUCAGGUAACAUCAAAUCGUACCCCAAACCGACACAGGUGGUCAGGUAGAGAAUACCAAGGCGCUUGAGAGAACUCGGGUGAAGGAACUAGGCAAAAUGGUGCCGUAACUUCGGGAGAAGGCACGCUGACACGUAGGUGAAGUGAUUUACUCAUGGAGCUGAAGUCAGUCGAAGAUACCAGCUGGCUGCAACUGUUUAUUAAAAACACAGCACUGUGCAAACACGAAAGUGGACGUAUACGGUGUGACGCCUGCCCGGUGCCGGAAGGUUAAUUGAUGGGGUCAGCGCAAGCGAAGCUCCUGAUCGAAGCCCCGGUAAACGGCGGCCGUAACUAUAACGGUCCUAAGGUAGCGAAAUUCCUUGUCGGGUAAGUUCCGACCUGCACGAAUGGCGUAAUGAUGGCCAGGCUGUCUCCACCCGAGACUCAGUGAAAUUGAACUCGCUGUGAAGAUGCAGUGUACCCGCGGCAAGACGGAAAGACCCCGUGAACCUUUACUAUAGCUUGACACUGAACAUUGAGCCUUGAUGUGUAGGAUAGGUGGGAGGCUUUGAAGUGUGGACGCCAGUCUGCAUGGAGCCGGCCUUGAAAUACCACCCUUUAAUGUUUGAUGUUCUAACGUGGACCCGUGAUCCGGGUUGCGGACAGUGUCUGGUGGGUAGUUUGACUGGGGCGGUCUCCUCCUAAAGAGUAACGGAGGAGCACGAAGGUUGGCUAAUCCUGGUCGGACAUCAGGAGGUUAGUGCAAUGGCAUAAGCCAGCUUGACUGCGAGCGUGACGGCGCGAGCAGGUGCGAAAGCAGGUCAUAGUGAUCCGGUGGUUCUGAAUGGAAGGGCCAUCGCUCAACGGAUAAAAGGUACUCCGGGGAUAACAGGCUGAUACCGCCCAAGAGUUCAUAUCGACGGCGGUGUUUGGCACCUCGAUGUCGGCUCAUCACAUCCUGGGGCUGAAGUAGGUCCCAAGGGUAUGGCUGUUCGCCAUUUAAAGUGGUACGCGAGCUGGGUUUAGAACGUCGUGAGACAGUUCGGUCCCUAUCUGCCGUGGGCGCUGGAGAACUGAGGGGGGCUGCUCCUAGUACGAGAGGACCGGAGUGGACGCAUCACUGGUGUUCGGGUUGUCAUGCCAAUGGCACUGCCCGGUAGCUAAAUGCGGAAGAGAUAAGUGCUGAAAGCAUCUAAGCACGAAACUUGCCCCGAGAUGAGUUCUCCCUGAGACUUUAGGUCUCCUGAAGGAACGUUGAAGACGACGACGUUGAUAGGCCGGGUGUGUAAGCGCAGCGAUGCGUUGAGCUAACCGGUACUAAUGAACCGUGAGGCUUAACCUUACA